rnacentral:rRNA from 1 species
CAGCCGCCGCGGUAAUACGUAGGUGGCAAGCGUUGUCCGGAAUUAUUGGGCGUAAAGCGCACGUAGGCGGUUAUUCAAGUCAGAGGUGAAAGCCCGGGGCUCAACCCCGGAACUGCCUUUGAAACUAGAUGACUGGAAUCUUGGAGAGGUCAGUGGAAUUCCGAGUGUAGAGGUGAAAUUCGUAGAUAUUCGGAAGAACACCAGUGGCGAAGGCGACUGACUGGACAAGUAUUGACGCUGAGGUGCGAAAGCGUGGGGAGCAAACAGGAUUAGAUACCCCUGUAGUCCCUGUCUCUUAUAC